GACAGAGUGAGAGAGAGGGUGGCUAGUGACAGAGUGAGGAAGGGGGUGACACAGUGACAGAGUGAGGGAGGGGGUGGCUAGUGACAGUCACUCCCUCCCUCACUCUGUCACUAGUCACCCCCUUCCCUCUCUCUGUCA